UACGGGGGGGGCAAGCGUUGUUCGGAAUUACUGGGCGUAAAGGGCGCGUAGGCGGUUCGCUAAGUUGGAUGUGAAAACUCUGGGCUCAACCCAGAGCCUGCAUCCAAAACUGGCGGGCUAGAGUUCUGGAGGGGGUAGCGGAAUUCCUGGUGUAGCGGUGAAAUGCGUAGAGAUGUGGAGGAACACCGAUGGCGAAGGCAGCCUCCUGGGCCAACACUGACGCUCAUGCACGAAAGCGUGGGGAGCAAACAGG
rnacentral:rRNA from 1 species